UACGUAGGGUGCGAGCGUUGUCCGGAAUUAUUGGGCGUAAAGGGCGCGUAGGCGGUCACGCACGUCCGUUGUGAAAUCGCUCGGCUCAACUGGGCGGGGUCAGCGGAUACGGCGUGGCUGGAGCAAGCUAGGGGGCAAUGGAAUUCCCGGUGUAGUGGUGGAAUGCGUAGAUAUCGGGAGGAACACCAGUGGCGAAGGCGGUUGCCUGGAGCUUUGCUGACGCUGAUGCGCGAAAGCGUGGGGAGCGAUCCGG
rnacentral:rRNA from 1 species